GACGAACCGUGCAAACGUUGUUCGGAAUCACUGGGCUUAAAGGGCGCGAGUAGGCGGGUGGUGCAAGUCUGUGGUGAAAGACCUCCCAGCUUAACUUGGAAGAAGGUGCCAAUGGAUCAGCUGCACAUCUUGAGGGAGGGUAGGGGCAUCUGGAACGGGCGGUGGAGCGGUGAAAUGCGUUGAUAUCGACCGGAACUCCGGUGGCGAAGGCGAGGUGCUGGACCCUUUCUGACGCUGAGGCGCGAAAGCCAGGGGAGCAAACGGG
rnacentral:rRNA from 1 species